UACAUAGGGAGCAAGCGUUAUCCGGAUUUAUUGGGUGUAAAGGGUGCGUAGACGGGAAAUUAAGUUAGUUGUGAAAUCCCUCGGCUUAACUGAGGAACUGCAACUAAAACUGAUUUUCUUGAGUACUGGAGAGGAAAGUGGAAUUCCUAGUGUAGCGGUGAAAUGCUUAGAUAUCACGAAGAACUCCGAUUGCGAAGGCAGCUCACUGGACUGCAACUGACACUGAGGCUCGAAAGUGUGGGUAUCAAACAGG
rnacentral:rRNA from 1 species